rnacentral:rRNA from 1 species
GUACACUCCUGCGGGAGGCAGCAGUGGGGAAUAUUGGACAAUGGGCGCAAGCCUGAUCCAGCCAUGCCGCGUGAGUGAUGAAGGCCCUAGGGUUGUAAAGCUCUUUCACCGGUGAAGAUAAUGACGGUAACCGGAGAAGAAGCCCCGGCUAACUUCGUGCCAGCAGCCGCGGUAAUACGAAGGGGGCUAGCGUUGUUCGGAUUUACUGGGCGUAAAGCGCACGUAGGCGGACUAUUAAGUCAGGGGUGAAAUCCCGGGGCUCAACCCCGGAACUGCCUUUGAUACUGGUAGUCUUGAGUUCGAGAGAGGUGAGUGGAAUUCCGAGUGCAGAGGUGAAAUUCGUAGAUAUUCGGAGGAACACCAGUGGCGAAGGCGGCUCACUGGCUCGAUACUGACGCUGAGGUGCGAAAGCGUGGGGAGCAAACAGGAUUAGAAACCCCGGUAGUCCCAU